rnacentral:rRNA from 1 species
CUCAGGACGAACGCUGGCGGCGUGCCUAAUACAUGCAAGUCGAGCGGACAGAAGGGAGCUUGCUCCCGGAUGUUAGCGGCGGACGGGUGAGUAACACGUGGGUAACCUGCCUGUAAGACUGGGAUAACUCCGGGAAACCGGAGCUAAUACCGGAUAGUUCCUUGAACCGCAUGGUUCAAGGAUGAAAGACGGUUUCGGCUGUCACUUACAGAUGGACCCGCGGCGCAUUAGCUAGUUGGUGAGGUAACGGCUCACCAAGGCGACGAUGCGUAGCCGACCUGAGAGGGUGAUCGGCCACACUGGGACUGAGACACGGCCCAGACUCCUACGGGAGGCAGCAGUAGGGAAUCUUCCGCAAUGGACGAAAGUCUGACGGAGCAACGCCGCGUGAGUGAUGAAGGUUUUCGGAUCGUAAAGCUCUGUUGUUAGGGAAGAACAAGUGCAAGAGUAACUGCUUGCACCUUGACGGUACCUAACCAGAAAGCCACGGCUAACUACGUGCCAGCAGCCGCGGUAAUACGUAGGUGGCAAGCGUUGUCCGGAAUUAUUGGGCGUAAAGGGCUCGCAGGCGGUUUCUUAAGUCUGAUGUGAAAGCCCCCGGCUCAACCGGGGAGGGUCAUUGGAAACUGGGAAACUUGAGUGCAGAAGAGGAGAGUGGAAUUCCACGUGUAGCGGUGAAAUGCGUAGAGAUGUGGAGGAACACCAGUGGCGAAGGCGACUCUCUGGUCUGUAACUGACGCUGAGGAGCGAAAGCGUGGGGAGCGAACAGGAUUAGAUACCCUGGUAGUCCACGCCGUAAACGAUGAGUGCUAAGUGUUAGGGGGUUUCCGCCCCUUAGUGCUGCAGCUAACGCAUUAAGCACUCCGCCUGGGGAGUACGGUCGCAAGACUGAAACUCAAAGGAAUUGACGGGGGCCCGCACAAGCGGUGGAGCAUGUGGUUUAAUUCGAAGCAACGCGAAGAACCUUACCAGGUCUUGACAUCCUCUGACAACCCUAGAGAUAGGGCUUUCCCUUCGGGGACAGAGUGACAGGUGGUGCAUGGUUGUCGUCAGCUCGUGUCGUGAGAUGUUGGGUUAAGUCCCGCAACGAGCGCAACCCUUGAUCUUAGUUGCCAGCAUUUAGUUGGGCACUCUAAGGUGACUGCCGGUGACAAACCGGAGGAAGGUGGGGAUGACGUCAAAUCAUCAUGCCCCUUAUGACCUGGGCUACACACGUGCUACAAUGGACAGAACAAAGGGCUGCGAGACCGCAAGGUUUAGCCAAUCCCACAAAUCUGUUCUCAGUUCGGAUCGCAGUCUGCAACUCGACUGCGUGAAGCUGGAAUCGCUAGUAAUCGCGGAUCAGCAUGCCGC